UCCCUGGUGGCUCAGAGGUUAAAGCAUCUGCCUGCAAUGCAGGGAGACCUGGGUUCGAUCCCUGGGUCGGGAA
rnacentral:tRNA from 1 species